UCACAAUCCAUCACAAAAACUUUAUGGCAUUCUAAAAUAGAAACACAAUAUUACUUACUCCGGUACUUUUUAUCAGGUGAAGAAGCUCAGCUCAGAAGAGGAAUCGACAACGGGGAUUGCCAAAAUUCAGCAUCCCAUAUAAUUAACUGCUAUUGGGCUUGCUAGGAAAAUAUUGUGGAAAGACUUCAAAAAAGGCAUGUGAGUCGCAACAAAGUAGACUCCAGCAUUCCUGCAAGUUUCAGUGCCGACUUUUCCAGCGUGGCAAGGGCUCAUUUGCUUUGCAUUAUGAACCAUAUGAAAAUAAUCCUAGAAAUGUAUCUCUGCCUUAUCCUCGCAUUAGAAUUUUAUCAGACCAUCCACAGCCUUACAAGGGAGCGAAGGAAACUAAUGUGGAGGCUAAAAAACAAGAUUCAGUUGCUGGUCGAAGGCAAGCUGCCAUGCUGGACCGCUUCCACAAACGAGAAAGACAACGUAUAUGGAAAGCAUUGUUGACUUGCUUCAUGGUG